CAGAGACUGUCAAUUCCUUUAACCCAGAAGUCAAUUCCCGUAAAUCCCAAUCUUUCAGUUUCCCUCUGACUGGCAGAUGGGAGGUUAUUAACACGGAAUUCCCCUGUUUGUAGAACCAUUAAGUCUCCGACAAAACAGCCAGUCAGCCAGAGGCUCAGCAGAGAGGACUAGUGGACGGAUGCCGGUCCCUUCGGCUCUCGUGUUGGAGCCUGCAGUAAUUAAACACAUCCAUCAGAUCAUGAUAGUGUUGCCAGGAAUGGCACACUGGGGGAACCAGACAACGAUCCAGGUUACCAUGACAUCCGCGAGGUAACACAAAGAUGUCUCUUGUUUCCUGGUGAUUCACUGACAAACUAUGUGUGUAAUACAGGAGUUUUUAUAACUCUAAAAUUAGUAAUGAAAUGUUUGUGGUUAACAUUUAUGUGCUGAUGCGAACUUUUACUCCAUCUUAGCUAUUACUUUAAAUGUUUUCUGUCCUUCUGUAAGGUCGAGGUAACAUAUCACAAAUUAAAACAAGUGUUGCAAAUCCUAGAUAAAUGUCUUAGAGUUCUGGAUGGCCGAGGAUUUUUGAUAAGCCAACAGGAAUGUAGUAAAGUAUUUUUAAGUUGUCAAAUGCAUUGAACAUGAAGGCCUCUAAACAGGUUGAAGAUUUAAAGAGGCCCUAUUAUGCCUAUUAUGAAUCAUGGAAAGUGAAAGAUAAAAAAGAUGUGCAUUAACCCUAACCCACGGUCAUUUCUUACUUUAACAGUACUGAUCUCUGUGCAGGGCAGGCUCAGAACACAAACUUCAAUAACUGCACCUGUGCACAGUUAGAUAGAGUUGUGGAAAGUGUUUUUUGAAAGUGGUCUGUAGCUACUGAGGACAGGAGGCUAUUGGUAAUUUAAAAAAAACAAACGAUAUUUGAAGACACCAAUUGUGAGGCAGAUGUCGAUGACAGCUGCUGAACAGGUUGAAAGUUGGGAAGAAAUUAUUGGGAAUUGUUGAGUCUGUUUUUGUUGUAUUCUCCGCCUGUUGUGGAUCAUUUAAUGACUAGUGUAUUGUCUCAUUUCAGGUCAUUAGCACAAAGCAUGCAUAGUCCCUGUAACAUGCUGACCAUGAUGAAUCUGUCUCUCCCACUCUUCAGGCAGUCACUGGUUUCCCGAUCCAUUCAGGCUGUAAAUGACAGAACAAAGUUGCCUCAUUUAACAUAUAAUUCAUUUCAUAAUUAAGUUAAAUAAAUAAAUACUUUAUUUCAUAUUAUAUCAAAGGAGUUCAAAUAUAGCAUGGUUUAAAAGGCAGUUUGUGUUAUAUGUUUAACAACAAUGCAUUGUGAUUGUAAGCUUCUGUGGUUUUGGGGCCUCUGAAGCAAUGUUUGUUUCGUUGUGUAUUGGUACUGCGUGUUUUGUUUACGCACUGUGAAGCUCAACGUGGGCAGACGUCUUUAUUGAAGCUGCUGUAGCAGUGUCUGUGGUAUCAGCAGCAGAAGACAUUUUUAAGAUCAGAAUCUCCUUUCAUGACAAGCGGCCAACAAGUUCUCACGGCGUAACGGAAGAGGGAGGCUAAAAGAUUAAGGCCAAGAACAACCGCCCGUUUCAAAGAGCCGACCUGUGUCUGUGUUGUGAAAGGAGCUACACACACACCAUGUAACUUGCUUCAGAGAGCCAAUCCAUCACGAAGACAACACAUUCUCCUCUGCGCUGUAAUUCACUGGAAAAGGAGUAUAUUUCGUGAAACAGGCGUCAACCCUUUAAAAACAAUGUACAGAUUCUAGCUUUAAGGAAGACUUGUCAUUGUAAUGGCUGAAUGGGAGGAAAUCUCUGCAGCUGAAAAUCCAAAAUAUGAAUCCUUUAUUUGCUUCUUUAUUCCCACUGUUUUGGAAUACGUUUAAGGUUAUGUUGUACACACACUUCAGCCACUAGCCUCUUUUGCAGUUUGGUGUCUCAUUUGAUAAAGCAUUUGAGAUGCUCAGGCUGUGCUGAAUGCCUUCUGGUUUGCUUCAUCCACCUCCACAGCAUCCGACUGCGCUCUGUUCUUCCUAUCCCUGACGUGGAAUUGGCAGUGAUCUCGCUCUGUGUUCAUCUGCUGCUCAUCUGCUGCUCAAUAUGUUAUUAUAGGGAGUUAUGGGAUAGAUAUCCAUAAUGCCAUUGACAAAUGGCGUCUCCGAAAGCUUUUUAUAUUAAUGGGGUGACGAGUAAAGUUGUUUAAUUUUCUUUUUAAUUCUCAGUAUUUCCACAUUUUUGUAGUAAACACAUCUGUCCUACUAGAGUAAAUAUUUGUCUUUAGUUUCAAUGGUAUCUUUAACAAACAUCUUCACAGGAUUACAGUGAGUGCCCAGUGCAGCAUUCCAAAGGGGGUGAAAUUAUAUGUAAAAAAUGUCUAGGGACAGGCUUUAUCGCAGCUGUGUUUCAUGUGUUGCAACUUGAAACAAAUAUUUGUGAGGCUCUAUUUAUAAACUCCUUCAUUGCUUGACCUUUGGUACUCACUCUUAUCAUUGUGGAUGCACAAACAAGACUCAGGAGUAAUUAGUGACACACAAACAGGAAGUAAUGUUGUGGCAUCUUUCAGGCAUAAGUGGACACGGAGAAAAUUCAUUGUUUUGGAAAAUAUCUAAACACAAGUAUUUCGAUUUAAAAAUGUAAUAAAAAAACACUUUGAAAAGUAGUUCAGCUCAGUAGCACCACCUAAUGGAGAGUCUUUAAACAUGUGUGCACAAGAAUAGAAGAAGCACAAUAAGAAGUGCACAAUUAAAAUUUGUUAUUAGAAAAUCCUGAAAUUAGUUCUUGUAGAAGAUAUAUAUUUAAAUGAGAUAAACUCAGAUUGACCUCACUUGCUUGCCUUUUUCGUUCCUCUCACCUUCAUAACGCUUGUAAGAAAUCAGUUCCCAGUCUGUAAACAGCAGGCAGAAAUAUGCAAAAUAGAUUUAACUAUGAUGUAAUGUAAUGCUACAAUAUGGGAUGAUGGAAUCAUUAAGUGAAAUGUGUCUGUUUUGUCCAUAUGUGCAGGGUGAAAGCAACAAACAAGAGAAAGAUUUCAAACAGGCAGUGAACACAAAACCUCCUGCUGUAAACAAAUGAAACUAAACAGAUGACUGGUGAUAAUUAACGAGAUUCUCAAGCAGUCAGUUUUCAAGUGUCAGCAAUGCUUUGGCUAUAGAGGUCACACCGAAACAUUCAAAAACCAAUGAAGUUGUACACAAUAACUGUUGCUACUGAGAUGAAGCAUGACUGAUCAUCAUGCCAGAUAAUAUGGUUGAUUUGAACUUUUAUAAACCUUUAUUUAUCUAGGAUAAAUUCACUGAAAGCAAUCCUCCUAGUAACCUGGUUCUAGGUAUUGCAGACACUUAAAUAUGGCUCAACUCAAAUAUUAAUAUUUAAAAAUACAUUAAUUAAAGUGCAAGUUUAAAAUAAAUGUGGAUGCAAAUGCCAACUGUCUUUAUUAUUGUGUAAAAUGCAUGGCUGUUUUCUUUUACUGUCAUAUAUGUUGGGGCUUAUUUUGACUCCAUUUCCAUACAAUAUGAACACUGAAUACCCAGUAUGUAGCUGCUUACACAGCGUCUGUGGGAUAUUUUAUAUGUGUAUGGGACAUAUAUAAUAACAUUAUGUUUUCAUGAACCUGACUCGUGUUGUACUGUUGAAUUUUCAGUAAACUCCAUUCUAUUGGAA